GGCAGUAAAGGGACCCAGCAGCCUCCAGCAAGGAUAAGAGCUAAGAAAGGCUGCUCUGUGUGGCCGCUCCAUGCCUGCUUCUCCCCAAGCCCCACAAUCCUCUUCCAAGCCCUCCACAUUUUCUAAGUGAGUCUGAGUGGUUCCUGUGGCCUUCACCUCUGUACUGUAACUCUGAGGAGCCAUGAGUGGCAGCUGGCUGGUUCUAGAGCCUCUACGGCGCCAGGCUAGGAUUAGUGCCACCCUGUCCCUGGCCCUGGGCCCUGCUGUUGUCUCCCACCAACCUCCAGAGCUGUGAUAAGGAAGAACACCAGAGCCUUGGUAAAGAUGGAGAGACAGUGCUUUCACAAGACAGUCUUUGCUUCUCCCCACCGAGUCUGUGAAGUGACCUGAAUUUUACAGCUCAGGAAAAUAAGGUUUUUGCAAAGGGAAGAAAGAAACCUAUUAAGAAGAUAUUUUGGGGCGGUGCCUGUGGCUCAGACUUCUGGUGACAGGUGUCCUGCUCUAUACCCAGAGGGAAAGACGGUAACACAGACACAGCAAGAAGAAUCUGGACUAAUGAGCAUUCAUUGACUGAAGAGGCUACAUGUUGCACAUGAUGAAGCUACAGGACGGUGUAUUUAUCAGCCUGCACUUUUAAGCUAUGACCUGGAAGAAAAUUGCCCUGAACUGUCAUCCAGAUCCACAUGGACAUUUGUGCAUAGACAUAAACCUUUGUUGUGUUAAGCUAUUUAGAUCUUAGCUUGUUACAGAGCACUAUAAAACCUUUUAUUAAUACACCACAUUUUUAAAAUUGAGAAAAUAAAGGCUCAGAGAAUUAUUUUAAAUUGCCGCAGAUCACAUUGCAGGUAAUGAGAAGAAUGGCAUAUGAGCCCAGAUCUUGCUAAAAGCAUAUCAGUACGAAAAUAACCACCCAGCCCUGCUGCAGGAGGGGAGAAAAGAUCACAUUCGGUAUUUUUUUAUUACAGAGGUUGUCAGUGGGAUCUACUUUAGGCCGUGGUGUUGGAGAAGGAGACUAGGAUACCGGACUGAGACCAGAUGCAGGGGCUCGCAGAGUGGG